GACGAACGCUGGCGGCGUGCUUAACACAUGCAAGUCGAACGGUGACGAGGAGCUUGCUCCUCCGAUCAGUGGCGAACGGGUGAGUAACACGUGAGUAACCUGCCCCAGACCCUGGGAUAACAGUUGGAAACAGCUGCUAAUACCGGAUACGAGACGGAGAGGCAUCUCUACCGUCUGGAAAGAUUUAUCAGUCUGGGAUGGACUCGCGGCCUAUCAGCUUGUUGGUGAGGUAAAGGCUCACCAAGGCGACGACGGGUAGCCGGCCUGAGAGGGCGACCGGCCACACUGGGACUGAGACACGGCCCAGACUCCUACGGGAGGCAGCAGUGGGGAAUAUUGCACAAUGGGCGAAAGACCUGAUGCAGCGACGCCGCGUGAGGGAUGACGGCC
rnacentral:rRNA from 1 species